CGGGUGAGUAACGCGUGGGUAACCUGCCUUAUACAGGGGGAUAACAGUCAGAAAUGGCUGCUAAUACCGCAUAAGCGCACAGAGCUGCAUGGCUCAGUGUGAAAAACUCCGGUGGUAUAAGAUGGACCCGCGUUGGAUUAGCUAGUUGGUGGGGUAACGGCCCACCAAGGCGACGAUCCAUAGCCGGCCUGAGAGGGUGAACGGCCACAUUGGGACCGAGACACGGCCCAG
rnacentral:rRNA from 1 species